UACGAAGGGUGCAAGCGUUACUCGGAAUUACUGGGCGUAAAGCGUGCGCAGGCGGUUUUGUAAGUCUGUCGUGAAAGCCCCGGGCUCAACCUGGGAAUUGCGAUGGAGACUGCAAGGCUUGAAUCUGGCAGAGGGGGGUAGAAUUCCACGUGUAGCAGUGAAAUGCGUAGAGAUGCGGAGGAACACCGAUGGCGAAGGCAGCCCCCUGGGCCAAUACUGACGCUCAGGCACGAAAGCGUGGGGAGCAAACAGG
rnacentral:rRNA from 1 species